AUCGCUUCUCGGCCUUUUGGCUAAGAUCAAGUGUAGUAUCUGUUCUUAUAUCUGAUAUGUCCCCUAUCUGGGGACCAUAUAUUAAGUUGAUUUUUGUACCUGGGAGAUGGAAUAGGGGCUUGCUCUAUCCACUCCACGCAUCGACCUGGUAUUGCAGUACCUCCAGGAAUGGUGCAUCUCUU